UCGAGAAUCUUUCGCAAUGGGGGAAACCCUGACGACGCGACGCCGCGUGGAGGAUGAAGGCCUUCGGGUUGUAAACUCCUGUCAGCAGGGGAGAACAAGCUUUUGGUGAAUAAUCAAGAGCUUUGACAGUACCUGCAGAGGAAGCCACGGCUAACUCUGUGCCAGCAGCCGCGGUAAUACAGGGGUGGCAAGCGUUGUUCGGAUUUAUUGGGCGUAAAGGGUCCGUAGGCGGCCUGAAAAGUUGGAUGUGAAAUCCCACAGCUUAACUGUGGAACUGCAUUCAAA
rnacentral:rRNA from 1 species